rnacentral:rRNA from 1 species
CACGUAGGGUGCAAGCGUUGUCCGGAAUUAUUGGGCGUAAAGGGCUCGUAGGCGGUCCGUCACGUCGGGGAGUGAAAACUCGGGGCUCAACCCCGAGCCUGCUUUCGAUACGGGCGGACUAGAGGUAGGUAGGGGAGAACGGAAUUCCUGGUGUAGCGGUGGAAUGCGCAGAUAUCAGGAAGAACACCAACGGCGAAGGCAGCUCGCUAGGACGGUACUGACGCUGAGACGCGAAAGCGUGGGGAGCGAACAGG